GAAAGUGGGGCAACCCAUGAGUACAGUGGCGUACGGGUGAGUAACACGUGGAUCAUCUACCUCUUUGUGGGGGAUAACUCUGGGAAACCGGAGCUAAUACCGCAUAAGCUCGUGAGAGGAAAGCAGCAAUGCGCAGAGAGAGGAGUCCGCGGCCGAUUAGCUAGUUGGUGAGGUAAUGGCUCACCAAGGCGAAGAUCGGUAGCCGGUCUGAGAGGACGCACGGCCACACUGGAACUGAAACACGGUCCAGAGCUCCUACGGGAGGCAGCAGUGGGAUCUUGCGAAAAAC
rnacentral:misc_RNA from 1 species